rnacentral:lncRNA from 1 species
GAAGAUGAAGAUGAACUUGAAGCAUGUGUGUAUUUUUUCUGUGCAAUGAAUGAAAAAAUAGAUGACGAACGAGAACUACUAGAAGAAGAAAUAGAGCUUUGUACGGAGAAUCUAGAUCCACGAAUUUUUUCAUCAUAUAUAGGAUAAAUAUCAUAAAGAAGUUGUGUUACCUCAAUUUUAGCAGGUUCAGGAUUUUGAAUCAUAUUUUCACAAUAUGCAUCAAGUAAAAUUAGUAAGCCAUUCAAUUUAACUCUUGGAUCAAAUACAGCAGCUAAGUUAUGCAUAGGACAUAUCUUAUCCCAAUACUCAUUCCAUUUAGAUUCCAUUUGUUCAAUAAU